GCACCGUUAGUGUAGUGGUAACACCCCCUCAUAAAUAUUCUGAGGGGAUCCGGGGUUGGAUUCCCCGAGGGUGCC